ACAAAAUUAUUUAAGUUUUUUAUUUCUGUAGGUUAUUGGGGAACAGGUGGUUGUUGGUUACAUGAAUAAGUUUUUUUGUUUUUUGAGACGGUGUCUUGCUCUCUCGCCAGGCUGGAGUGCAGUGGUGUGAUCUCAGCUCACUGCGACCUCUGCCUCCUGGGUUCAAGCGAUUCCCCUGCUUCAGCCUCCCAAGUAGCUGGGAUUACAGGCACACCACCACACCCGGCUAAUUUUUUGUAUUUUAGUAGAGACAGGGUUUCACAAUGUUGGCCAAGAUGGUCUUGGUCUCCUGACCUCGUGAUCCACCCACCUCAGCCUCCGAAAGUGCUGGGAUUACAGGCGUAAGCCACCGCGCCCAGCCGUUUACAUGAUUAAGUUCUUUAGUGGUGAUUUGUGAGAUUUUGGUGCACCUAGCUUUUUCUAGGAAGUUCUAACCCUACAGGAGGUUGUGCAGUAGAAAACGGGUGUCAUCUCAGCUCAGCUUCAUUAGCCUUCUACCCUGUAUAGGGUCUGGCCUCUCCCCAUGCAGCCCCAGGGCCCUUGGCCUGCACCCCCAGCCUCUGGCAGCUGCUGGGACCCCCUAACCCCCCUGGGCCCCCUUGUGGGCAUUCGGGAGGCAUUCAGACAUGCAGCAGCACGUCCAGACCCAGCUUUCUAUAGACGCUGACCUGGUGGCGCCUGGCCUGGCUUCCUGGGAGCCGCGCAGCUGGGCUCUUCUGCUUGGGUUUCAGUGUUCGUGGCAGCCCCGCCUGUCUGGGCACGGCCGCGCUGUGCUUGGCUGGGGCUGCCACGGAUUCCAGUACCACUUAGGGCCCAGCAAAGGGGCUGCAGCUCUGGGUGCCGAUUCCAGGGUCCCAGGUGAUUGGCUGGAGGGGACUCGGGUCCGUCUAGACUCUAUCCAGUCCCCUGUGGUCUGGGUGUGGGCCUCUUGACCCUCUGUCCGCCAGCGGGGACUGGAGAAGGCAGGUCUCGAGCAGGGUGCCUGUGCUGGUUACCCCUGCCCGGUGUGUCGCCAGGAGCUAUGCACCAAGCUCCCUGUGGGCCCAGCAUGGCACAGGGAACAACAACAGCGAGCCCCAUUGCCCGCCUCGGGAAGCUGCCAUCGCUGGAUGGUCAGGGAGGGCUUCCUGGCGGAAGGGAUGUUCUCACUGAGCAUGGAGGAUGCGAGGAAUUCAGGAGGCGAACGGGACAGAGAAGGAUGGGUGGCUGGCAGGAAGCACAGCACGUGCAAAGGCCCAGAGGUGGCAGGGUUUGGGCAUGGGCAGCAAUGGGGGCAGGGUUGUGAGGUGAGGCCAGACCCAGCGGGGUGGGUGGCAGUGGCCUGAGAGCAGCCCUGAGGCCGCCGGUAUGCCACGCGAUGUGGGGCAGAGCACGCGGAGUCAGGCUGGGCUCUGGCCUCCCAGCACCCCACUCCCGCCCUCAGCAGCCUCCCCGUCUAUUGAGGAGGGACUUGAGCCUUGGGCCCCCGGGCCAGUGGUAGAUGCCAGACAGACUCCAUGUAGAAUGGGGGUCGGCAGUGGGGAGCCGUUUGUUCUAGGGCGGCCCCAGGACAUCCCCAGGGGCCAGCAGCGUGGCUUUCUUUGCCAGGGCAGAGCUCCUCAUUGGGCUUCACAGAGGGAAACCAAGGCCCAGAGAGGGCAGGCCAGUUGCGCACAGUCACACAGCCCGGGCUGGCAGAGCAGAUCUGAAUUCCAGAAAGCCUGGCUACCGAGCACACCCCCCACCCCCUCAUGGGUUGCCCAAGGCCAGGGCAGAGUUGGGCCACGUUGGUGGGCCGGGCCCACAACUAGGGUUCCCAGACCCACAUAUGAGACUCACCCAGGGAGGAGCAUUCUCAGGGCCAGUCCUGGCCUCCCCCACGCUGGGGGCCUGGGCCUCCAGGGCAAGGCCUCAGCAACUGCAUUUUAACAUGGCUCCCAACCUCUGCCCACCCCCUCCCCUCCGCUGUGGCCAGGGUGGCAACAACCUGAGACCUGGGAGGAGGCGGGACCCCCGUGAGGGGAGGGGACUGGACUGGAUGGGACCCCUGUGGGGGAAGAGGAGGGGACGGGGACCCCCCCAUGGCAGGGGAGGAGGCCCUGAUGGGGUGGAGGAGCACCUAGGAAAUGUGGAACCGCCCCCCCAUACCCCCGCCCCGUUGCAGGUGAGCGCCGUGAGGGGGUCAACGCCUCCGUCAGCUCCGACGUGCAGUCGGUGUUCAAGGGGAAGACAUACAACCAGCUGCAGGUCAUCUUCCAGGGCAUCGAGGGCAAAAUCCGCGCUGGGGGCCCCAACCUGGACAUGGGCUACUGGGAGAGCCUCCUGCAGCAGCUGCGCGCCCACA
rnacentral:sRNA from 1 species